AUUGAACGCUGGCGGCGUGCUUAACACAUGCAAGUCGAUCGGUAACAGGUGUAGCAAUACAUGCUGACGAGAGGCGGACGGGUGAGUAAUGCUUGGGAAUCUGCCUAUUAGUGGGGGACAACCCGGGGAAACUCGGGCUAAUACCGCAUACGCUCUACGGAGGAAAGCCGGGGACCGCAAGGCCUGGCGCUAAUAGAUGAGCCCAAGUCGGAUUAGCUAGUUGGUAGGGUAACGGCCUACCAAGGCGACAAUCCGUAGCUGGUCUGAGAGGACGACCAGCCACACCGGAACUGAGACACGGUCCGGACUCCUACGGGAGGCAGCAGUGGGGAAUAUUGGACAAUGGGGGCAACCCUGAUCCAGCGACGCCGCGUGGGUGAAGAAGGCCUGCGGGUUGUAAAGCCCUUUCGGUGGGGAAGAAAAGUCUCGACCUAAUACGUCGGGACCUUGACGUAACCCACUAAAGAAGCACCGGCUAACUCUGUGCCAGCAGCCG
rnacentral:rRNA from 1 species